AGUUCUGAUGCACCGAAUUUGCAGGUGGAGAACGAGGAGACAAGCGAGGCACUCAGUGCCCGGACGAAAGCGCUGUUGGAUAGGAUCCAACAGCGCUUUUUA
rnacentral:ncRNA from 1 species